GCACAAGCAGUGGAGUAUGUGGUUUAAUUCGAAGCAACGCGAAGAACCUUACCAGGUCUUGACAUCUCCUGCAUACCUAAGAGAUUAGGGAAGUCCCUUCGGGGACAGGAAGACAGGUGGUGCAUGGUUGUCGUCAGCUCGUGUCGUGAGAUGUUGGGUUAAGUCCCGCAACGAGCGCAACCCUUACGAUUAGUUGCUACGCAAGAGCACUCUAAUAGGACUGCCGUUGACAAAA
rnacentral:rRNA from 1 species